rnacentral:lncRNA from 1 species
CAAUAUACAAAUUUCUUAAACAUAUAUCAGAGUAAAAACCAUAAACGGGAUAUCACAUAGAAACGUAAUCCAAAAACAGUUAAAUAAUGAUUUAACUUUCACAUAAUAUCUUAACAUAGCAGCGGAAUAUUAGUUCGGAAAUCAUAAAUCAGUUUGGCACGUAGGCCCCAUCAAAACAGUUCAUAUCGUAAUCCAUAACAUUAUAAAAAUAACAUAUUAGUCACGUAAGAGAAUG